rnacentral:rRNA from 1 species
GACGAACGCUGGCGGCGUGCUUAACACAUGCAAGUCGAACGGGCCUUGUCCCCUUUUUUUUGGGGGUGGGGUUAGUGGCGAACGGGUGAGUAACACGUGAGUAACCUGCCCCUCACUUCUGGAUAACCGCUUGAAAGGGUGGCUAAUACGGGGUGUUCUGGCCUGCUCGCAUGGGUGGGUUUGGAAAGAUUCGACCGGUUUUGGUGGUUUUGGUGGGGGAUGGGCUCGCGGCCUAUCAGCUUGUUGGUGGGGUGAUGGCCUGCCAAGGCUUUGACGGGUAGCCGGCCUGAGAGGGUGGGCGGUCACCCUGGGACUGAGACACGGCCCAGACUCCUACGGGAGGCAGCAGUGGGGAAUAUUGCACGAUGGGCGCAAGCCUGAUGCAGCGACGCCGCGUGAGGGAUGGAGGCCUUCGGGUUGUGAACCUCUUUCGCCAGUGAAGAAGGUCCUGCUCUUUGUGGUGGGGUUGACGGUAGCUGGGUUAAUGAAGCGCCGGCUAACUACGUG